UCUUUGUGCGAGCGUUGUUCGGAAUUACUGGGCGUAAAGCGCGUGUAGGCGGCCUUGCAAGUCAGGCGUGAAAGCCCUCGGCUUAACCGGGGAAGUGCGUCUGAAACUGCUUGGCUUGAGUACGGGAGAGGAAGGCGGAAUUCCCAGUGUAGAGGUGAAAUUCGUAGAUAUUGGGAGGAACACCGGUGGCGAAAGCGGCCUCCUGGACCGAUACUGACGCUGAGACGCGAAAGCGUGGGGAGCAAACAGGAUUAGAUACCCUGGUAGUCCACGCGGUAAACGAUGGGCACUAGGUGUGGGGGGUAUCCACUCCUCCCGUGCCGAAGCUAACGCAUUAAGUGCCCCGCCUGGGGAGUACGGCCGCAAGGUUA
rnacentral:rRNA from 1 species